CCUACGGGAGGCAGCAGUGGGGAAUAUUGCGCAAUGGGCGAAAGCCUGACGCAGCGACGCCGCGUGAGGGAUGAAGGUCUUCGGAUCGUAAAACUCUGUCAGCAGGGAAGAACAGUCACUGUGCUAAUCAGCAGUGCAUUGACGGUACCUGCAAAGGAAGCACCGGCUAACUCCGUGCCAGCAGCCGCGGUAAUACGGAGGGUGCGAGCGUUAAUCGGAAUUACUGGGCGUAAGGCGCUCGUAGGCGGUAUGUCAAGUCAAGGGUGAAAUCCCCGCGCUCAACGUGGGAACUGCCUUUGAAACUGGAAAACUUGAGUGUGUGAGAGGAUAGUGGAAUUCCAGGUGUAGGAGUGAAAUCCGUAGAUAUCUGGAGGAACAUCAGUGGCGAAGGCGACUAUCUGGCACAUAACUGACGCUGAGGAGCGAAAGCGUGGGUAGCAAACAGGAUUAGAUACCCGUGUAGUC
rnacentral:rRNA from 1 species